rnacentral:rRNA from 1 species
AUAGAAUCUGCCCUGUACUGGGGAAUAGCCCAGAGAAAUUUGGAUUAAUGCCCCAUGGUAUGUAUUAGCGGCAUCGCUUAUACAUUAAAGGCUACGGUACAGGAUGACUAUGCGUCCCAUUAGUUAGUUGGUAAGGUAACGGCUUACCAAGGCAGCGAUGGGUAGGGGCCCUGAGAGGGGGAUCCCCCACACUGGUACUGAGACACGGACCAGACUCCUACGGGAGGCAGCAGUGAGGAAUAUUGGACAAUGGGCGGGAGCCUGAUCCAGCCAUGCCGCGUGCAGGAAGACGGUCCUAUGGAUUGUAAACUGCUUUUGUACGGGAAGAACAAGGGGCACGUGUGCCCCUCUGACGGUACCGUAAGAAUAAGGAUCGGCUAACUCCGUGCCAGCAGCCGCGGUAAUACGGAGGAUCCGAGCGUUAUCCGGAAUCAUUGGGUUUAAAGGGUCCGUAGGCGGGCCAUUAAGUCAGGGGUGAAAGUCUGCGGCUCAACCGUAGAAUUGCCCUUGAUACUGGUGGUCUUGAGUUAUGGUGAAGUAACUAGAAUAUGUAGUGUAGCGGUGAAAUGCAUAGAUAUUACAUAGAAUACCGAUUGCGAAGGCAGGUUACUAACCAUAUACUGACGCUGAUGGACGAAAGCGUGGGGAGCGAACAGGAUUAGAUACCCUGGUAGUCCACGCCGUAAACGAUGGAUACUAGCUGUCCGGAUGCAAAUCUGGGCGGCCAAGCGAAAGUGAUAAGUAUCCCACCUGGGGAGUACGUCCGCAAGGAUGAAACUCAAG